AUGGCGCGGAUGGCAAGCAAGGGGAGCAGCGGCAGGGCCAUGGCCGGCGGGGCCAGCGGGCGCGAGCGCGAGGGGAAGAAGGCGCUGCUGCUGGGGCGCUUCGAGGUGGGGAAGAUGCUGGGGCAGGGCAACUUCGCCAAGGUGUACCAGGCGCGCAACGUGGCCACCGGCGAGGAGGUGGCCAUCAAGGUGAUCGAGAAGGAGAAGGUCUUCAAGUCCGGCCUCACGGCGCACAUCAAGCGCGAGAUCGCCGCGCUCCGCCGCGUGCGCCACCCGCACAUCGUGCAGCUCUACGAGGUCAUGGCCACCAAGCUCCGCAUCUACUUCGUCAUGGAGUACGUGCGCGGCGGCGAGCUGUUCGCGAAGGUCGCCAAGGGCCCCCUGCCGGAGGGCGAGGCCCGGCGCUACUUCCAGCAGCUGGUCUCCGCCGUCGCCUUCUGCCACGCGCGCGGGGUGUACCACCGGGACAUCAAGCCUGAGAACCUCCUCGUUGACGACGCCGGCGACCUCAAGGUCUCCGACUUCGGCCUCUCCGCCGUCGCCGAGCAGAUGCGCCACGACGGGCUCUUCCACACCUUCUGCGGCACCCCGGCGUACGUUGCCCCCGAGGUGCUCUCCCGCCGCGGCUACGACGCCGCCAAGGCCGACCUCUGGUCAUGCGGCGUCGUGCUCUUCGUCCUAGGCGCCGGUUACCUACCGUUCCAGGACCGAAACCUCGUCGGCAUGUACCGCAAGAUCCACAGGGGCGACUUCCGCUGCCCCAAGUGGUUCUCCCCGGAGCUCCUCCGCCUCAUGCACUGCGUGCUCGACACCAAGCCGCUGCGCCGCGCCACCAUCGACGAGAUCAUGGACAACGAAUGGUUCAAGGUCGGAUUCCGCCGCUUCUCCUUCCGCAUCGAGGACGACCGCUCCUUCACCUGCUUCGACCUCGACGACGGCGAUGCCUAUGCGCCCACCUCGCCGCCCGACACCCCGCGGACGGCGGACGGCAGCGACUACGGUGACGCGACCGAUCAGCAACAAAAAAUCUCGGGUGGGAUGACGUCGUGCGGAUCGGCGCCGUCGCUGCUGGAAGGGAGGUUCGGGCAGCUGGGCGGGAGCUCGCGGCGGCGGUCGAGCCUGAACGCGUUCGACCUCAUCUCCUUCUCCCCGGGGUUCGACCUCUCGGGUCUGUUCGAGGACGGCGGCGGCGAGGGGAGCAGCGGGGAGGGCGAGCAGCAGCAGAACGCUGCGCGGUUCGUGUCGGCGGCGCCGGUGGAGCAGAUCCUGGCCGCGCUGGAGCGGACGGCCGCGGCGGCGGGCAUGGCGGUGCGGGCUCGGGAGGACGGGUCGGUGAUCAUGGAGGGAACACGCGAGGGCGCUAACGGCGCGCUGGCGGUGGCCGCGGAGAUCUACGAGCUGACGCCGGAGCUGGUGGUCGUGGAGGUGCGGCGCAAGUCCGGCGGCGCGGCCGAGUACGAGGAGUUCUACCGGGCGCGCCUGAAGCCCAGCCUGCGGGAGCUCAUGACCGAGGAGCCGGCGCCACGCGGCGGCUCCAAGGAGCUCACUCGGAGCGUGUGA
rnacentral:rRNA from 1 species